UACGUCCUACGGGAGAAAGCAGGGGACCUUCGGGCCUUGCGCUAUCAGAUGAGCCUAGGUCGGAUUAGCUAGUUGGUGGGGUAAUGGCUCACCAAGGCGACGAUCCGUAACUGGUCUGAGAGGAUGAUCAGUCACACUGGAACUGAGACACGGUCCAGACUCCUACGGGAGGCAGCAGUGGGGAAUAUUUGGAACAAUUGGGGCGAAAGCCUGAUCCAGCCAUGCCCGCGUGUGUGAAGAAGGUCUUCGGAUUGUAAAGCACUUUAAGUUGGGAGGAAGGGUUGUAGAUUAAUACUCUGCAAUUUUGACGUUACCGACAGAAUAAGCACCGGCUAACUCUGUGCCAGCAGCCGCGGUAAUACAGAGGGUGCAAGCGUUAAUCGGAAUUACUGGGCGUAAAGCGCGCGUAGGUGGUUUGUUAAGUUGGAUGUGAAAUCCCCGGGCUCAACCUGGGAACUGCAUUCAAAACUGACUGACUAGAGUAUGGUAGACGGGUGGUGGAAUUUCCUGUGUAGCGGUGAAAUGCGUAGGAUAUAGGAAGGAAACACCCAGUGGCGAAGGCGA
rnacentral:rRNA from 1 species